rnacentral:rRNA from 1 species
CAGCAGCCGCGGGAAUACGAAGGGUGCAAGCGUUACUCGGAAUUACUGGGCGUAAAGCGUGCGUAGGUGGUGGUUUAAGUCCGUUGUGAAAGCCCUGGGCUCAACCUGGGAAUUGCAGUGGAUACUGGGUCACUAGAGUGUGGUAGAGGAUAGUGGAAUUUCCGGUGUAGCAGUGAAAUGCGUAGAGAUCGGAAGGAACAUCUGUGGCGAAGGCGACUAUCUGGGCCAACACUGACACUGAGGCACGAAAGCGUGGGGAGCAAACAGGAUUAGAUACCCCCGUAGUCCCUGUCUCUUAUAC